rnacentral:lncRNA from 1 species
UAUGUGGGCUUGUUAAGCUUGGAGAAGAAGUAAUAUAUUAAUUGGGAGAUUUACAUUGAGUGUAAGGAUAUUACUUGAAAAGGAAAAGACAAGAGAGUUACUCUUUAAGAGAAAAAGGAAAGUUGCUUAAGUCGCUUUUGGAAGAACUUGAGGAGCAAGUUCUGGUUAUGUAUACAUGGAGGAUGUGCCUCUAUGAAGGGAGUUGUCUCUGCUAAAAGAAUAAAAGUCGAGAGAUCAUUGUUUGGUGCUUGUGUGAUCAAGCCUUUGGUAUCACUGCUUUGCGUUAGGUGCUGAAGUAGUUGUUGAAGUACUUCCAAAUGUUGGAAGAUUGAAGUCUAGAUUCAGGGGGAGUUUAGCUCGGGAUCGGGGUGAUUCUGAUAAACAAAAGUCUAGAAUCUAGGGUGAGUUUUAGUUUAGGAUCAGGAUAAUCUUAAAGGAUUCUUGUAACAGAAAAGAUUGGUGUAAGACUUUCUUGUUCUAGUGAAUUCGAAAAGAGAAAAACUUGU